AGUGAACGCUGGCGGUAGGCCUAACACAUGCAAGUCGAACGGCAGCACAGGAGAGCUUGCUCUCUGGGUGGCGAGUGGCGGACGGGUGAGGAAUACAUUGGAAUCUACUCUGUCGUGGGGGAUAACGUAGGGAAACUUACGCUAAUACCGCAUACGACCUACGGGUGAAAGCAGGGGAUCUUCGGACCUUGCGCGAUUGAAUGAGCCGAUGUCGGAUUAGCUAGUUGGCGGGGUAAAGGCCCACCAAGGCGACGAUCCGUAGCUGGUCUGGAAGGAUGAUCAGCCACACUGGAACUGAGACCCGGUCCAGACUCCUACGGGAGGCAGCAGUGGGGAAUAUUGGACAAUGGGCGCAAGCCUGAUCCAGCCAUACCGCGUGGGUGAAGAGGGCCUUCGGGUUGUAAAGCCCUUUUGUUGGGAAAGAAAUCCAGCUGGCUAAUACCCGGUUGGGAUGACGGUACCCAAAGAAUAAGCACCGGCUAACUUCGUGCCAGCCGCCGCCGUAA
rnacentral:rRNA from 1 species